AUUGAACGCUGGCGGCAGGCCUAACACAUGCAAGUCGAACGGUAACAGGAAGCAGCUUGCUGCUUCGCUGACGAGUGGCGGACGGGUGAGUAAUGUCUGGGAAACUGCCUGAUGGAGGGGGAUAACUACUGGAAACGGUAGCUAAUACCGCAUAACGUCGCAAGACCAAAGAGGGGGACCUUAGGGCCUCUUGCCAUCGGAUGUGCCCAGAUGGGAUUAGCUAGUAGGUGGGGUAACGGCUCACCUAGGCGACGAUCCCUAGCUGGUCUGAGAGGAUGACCAGCCACACUGGAACUGAGACACGGUCCAGACUCCUACGGGAGGCAGCAGUGGGGAAUAUUGCACAAUGGGCGCAAGCCCGAUGCAGCCAUGCCGCGUGUAUGAAGAAGGCCUUCGGGUUGUAAAGUACUUUCAGCGGGGAGGAAGGGAGUAAAGUUAAUACCUUUGCUCAUUGACGUUACCCGCAGAAGAAGCACCGGCUAACUCCGUG
rnacentral:rRNA from 1 species